GGAGUGGGCGCUACCAUGCAGUCGAGCGGAACGAGUUAUCUGAACCUUCGGGGGACGAUAACGGCGUCGAGCGGCGGACGGGUGAGUAAUGCCUAGGAAAUUGCCCUGAUGUGGGGGAUAACCAUUGGAAACGAUGGCUAAUACCGCAUGAUGCCUACGGGCCAAAGAGGGGGACCUUCGGGCCUCUCGCGUCAGGAUAUGCCUAGGUGGGAUUAGCUAGUUGGUGAGGUAAGGGCUCACCAAGGCGACGAUCCCUAGCUGGUCUGAGAGGAUGAUCAGCCACACUGGAACUGAGACACGGUCCAGACUCCUACGGGAGGCAGCAGUGGGGAAUAUUGCACAAUGGGCGCAAGCCUGAUGCAGCCAUGCCGCGUGUGUGAAGAAGGCCUUCGGGUUGUAAAGCACUUUCAGUCGUGAGGAAGGUGGUGUAGUUAAUAGCUGCAUCAUUUGACGUUAGCGACAGAAGAAGCACCGGCUAACUCCGUGCCAGCAGCCGCGGUAAUACGGAGGGUGCGAGCGUUAAUCGGAAUUACUGGGCGUAAAGCGCAUGCAGGUGGUUUGUUAAGUCAGAUGUGAAAGCCCGGGGCUCAACCUCGGAAUUGCAUUUGAAACUGGCAGACUAGAGUACUGUAGAGGGGGGUAGAAUUUCAGGUGUAGCGGUGAAAUGCGUAGAGAUCUGAAGGAAUACCGGUGGCGAAGGCGGCCCCCUGGACAGAUACUGACACUCAGAUGCGAAAGCGUGGGGAGCAAACAGGAUUAGAUACCCUGGUAGUCCACGCCGUAAACGAUGUCUACUUGGAGGUUGUGGCCUUGAGCCGUGGCUUUCGGAGCUAACGCGUUAAGUAGACCGCCUGGGGAGUACGGUCGCAAGAUUAAAACUCAAAUGAAUUGACGGGGGC
rnacentral:rRNA from 1 species